AAAAUGUGUAAAAAUGUGUAAUCUACUCC
rnacentral:sRNA from 1 species